AUACGAGGGGUGCAAGCGUUAAUCGGAAUUACUGGGCGUAAAGCGUUCGUAGGCGGUUUGUUAAGCAAGAUGUGAAAGCCCUGGGCUCAACCUGGGAACUGCAUUUUGAACUGGCAAGCUAGAAUACUGUAGAGGGUGGUGGAAUUUCCAGUCUAGCGGUGAAAUGCGUAGAGAUUGGAAGGAACAUCAGUGGCGAAGGCGGCCACCUGGACAGAUAUUGACGCUGAGGAACGAAAGCGUGGGGAGCGAACAGGAUUAGAUACCCCAGUAGUCC
rnacentral:rRNA from 1 species